CUGAUAAUGAUGCUAGUACAAGGGUUAUUGGCUCACUUAUUAAUUAUGAGACUGUCAAAUAUUUUAAUAAUGAAGUUUAUGAAGCUGAUAAUUAUGACAAGUACCUAAAGAGUAAUGGUGAAUGGGCUUCUCUUCCAAUUAUCACUUCCACUUAAUUUCCU